rnacentral:rRNA from 1 species
AUUGAACGCUGGCGGAAUGCUUUACACAUGCAAGUCGAACGGCAGCACGGACUUCGGUCUGGUGGCGAGUGGCGAACGGGUGAGUAAUACAUCGGAACGUGCCCAGUCGUGGGGGAUAACGUAGCGAAAGCUACGCUAAUACCGCAUACGAUCUACGGAUGAAAGCGGGGGAUCGCAAGACCUCGCGCGAUUGGAGCGGCCGAUGGCAGAUUAGGUAGUUGGUGGGGUAAAGGCUCACCAAGCCGACGAUCUGUAGCUGGUCUGAGAGGACGACCAGCACCACUGGGAAGGAGACACGGCCCAGACUCCUACGGGAGGCAGCAGUGGGGAAUUGUGGACAAUGGGCGCAAGCCUGAUCCAGCCAUUCCGCGUGCAGGAUGAAGGCCCUCGGGUUGUAAACUGCUUUUGUACGGAACGAAAAGGCUCUGGUUAAUACCCGGGGCUCAUGACGGUACCGUAAGAAUAAGCACCGGCUAACUACGUGCCAGCCGCCGCAGUAAAAC